rnacentral:rRNA from 1 species
UACGAAGGGGGCUAGCGUUGUUCGGAAUUACUGGGCGUAAAGCGCACGUAGGCGGACUACUAAGUCAGGGGUGAAAUCCCGGGGCUCAACCCCGGAACUGCCUUUGAUACUGAUAGUCUCGAGUCCGGAAGAGGUGAGUGGAAUUCCGAGUGUAGAGGUGAAAUUCGUAGAUAUUAGGAAGAACACCAGUGGCGAAGGCGGCUCACUGGUCCGGUACUGACGCUGAGGUGCGAAAGCGUGGGGAGCAAACAGG